ACACACUUACUACAGAAUGUUUUAAAUAAACUGUCAGGGUAAUAAAUAGUAACGUUACAUGUUAACACGACAGCUCUAAUUUAUUAACAAACCUGGCUUUUCUUUCAUUUUUUGUGAAUAUUGAUGAGUAUAUAAUGAAUAUUAAUGAAUAUAUAAUGAAUAUUGAUGAGUAUAAUGAGUAUUGAUGAGUAUAUAAUGAAUAUUGAUGAGUAUAAUGAGUAUUGAUGAGUAUAUAAUGAAUAUUGAUGAGUAUAUAAUGAGUAUUGAUGAGUAUAUAAUGGAUAUUGAUGAGUAUAUAAUGAAUAUUGAUGAGUAUAUAAUGAAUAUUAAUGAAAGUACGGCAUCACGAUCGUUCCCAAAUGGCCACAAUUUAUUUUAAUUAUAUUAUACGAUUCUGUCACUAUGUAGUAGUGUAUAAAAUAGUUGUGCUGUACUUUUCUCUGUGUGUGUGUGUGUGUGUGUGUGUGUUUGUACUUAUCUCAUACAGUAAGCAUGUGAGGGAGACAUGCAGUGUUUGCCAGAUUUUUGGUUUUCCUGAUCCUUUGCUACACUUUACAGUUUUAUUAAUAUGAUAUAAUAAAUAAGAGCAUGUUAGGACACUGGUGAAAGAACAAUUCUGGGAAACGAUGGGAUUUAAUUCUGCUUGUUAUCUGAGCACAUAGCAUAUGUCAGUACACAUCUGUUUCCUCACAUCAGUUUCCUCACAUCUGUAUCUUCACAUCUGUAUCCUCACAUCUCUCUGAGAAAUUCAACAUUAAACUGCACUUCUGUCAUUUUGACAAUUUUCCAUAUGAUCUAGAAGUCUACAAAAUAACGAGGAAUAUUCUGUUUCACUGAAACCAUUAAAUAAUUGCAUUAACGCCUUUAACUUGUUCUGGCAUGCCUUUAUUGUACACACACACACACACACUACCAUUACCAUAAAUAAUAAUGGAAAUAAUAAUAAUUAAUAAGAAAUGUAAAUAAUAAUAUUCUUAUUUUAUAUGUAUGUAGUAAGUGUUACGUUAUGGUGAGUAACUUAUACUGGCACAAACACUGAAACAGGAAGUGCUGUGGUCAGCGUGUAUGGAAAUCGUGCGUGUGUGUGUAUUGUAUUUGCCCUCCAAUUUGAGGUCACAUGAUCAUUCAAUCACAUGAUCCAGUGAUCCAGACUGUGUGUCACACGUACAUAGUUGUCCUGUUUCUGUGUGCAGCCGCUUAUUUAUCUCUCUCUCUUUCUCUCUCACUCACACACACACACACACACACACACACACAUGCACACAGAUUCUGGUCAAACCGGUUCUAUGCACACACAAACAUUUGUCUCUCUGGUUGCCAGGUGACAUCGAUACUGAGAACUUGUGUGUGUGUGUGUGUGUGUGUGUGUGUGUGUGUGUGUGUGUGUGGUUUUUCCCACCACUGCUGUUCCAGGGGAAAGUUCAUCACCUGUUCCUGAGAUUAGGAUGUCCAAUAAAUUACACACCUGUCUCUCUCUCUCUCUCUCUCACACACACACACACACAGUAUACUUGUAUAUGGCUAGAGUGAUAAAGCUCUACUCUUUAUAGUGAGUCUAUCUGAGUAACACUGCUGCAGUCUAAUGAGGCUAAUGCUAACACAAACGCUAAUGCUAAUACACCAUGUUACGUUUUCCAUUUCGACUGUGUAUUUUUACAUUUAAAUCUUACGUAAAGAUUUCUGAUGAAAACACGGGUUUUACUGCGUUAGAAGAAACAACUAUAUGCGCGCACACACACACACACACACACAGAUAAGUGUACAGUACAGUCUGAGCUCAGUUCAAGAGCUGAAGACAGUAACAUCAUUAAUUAUGGGGUGCCAAUAAUUUUAGAGUUAUAUGUAUAUAUUAGUGGUGUAAUUAUUACAGCUGCUAUAAUGUAAGUGAAAACAGGAAGUAACUUGUCACUGUGUAAUAAAUAAAUAUUCUGAAUUGUGGUGUAAGAGGAACAAAACACCUCACUGUUUAUCAACACACUGUUUUCCCCUGACUGUCCGAUUACACUUCUGUUACCAUGACAACGGGCACCCAUAACACUAUCAGCUCAGUCUGUAUUUACUCAUACGUACCUACAUACACACACACACACACACACACGAGCCUGUACUCUGACUAAUUCAGCUCCUGUGUGAGAUCAGCAUGUAGAGUCAGAUAGACAGGUGUGGAGGUGAGACAUGAGUGCAUAAACACUGACACACACAGCUUCAGUGGAAUCUGGUGUGCGAUUCUUUGUGGAAGGUGCACAUUGCUAAAUUCUCCCUGCUGGUUGGUUCCAUAUUCGGAUACCUGGUUCUCGGAGUGCUGGCUGACUGGUUUGGACGUCACGCGGUGUUGGUGGUGUCGGUGUUCUUCACACUCGUGUUUGGUAUGUCUGUGGCCUUCUCCAUUAACGUCACCAUGUUCAGCACACUCCGCUUCUUUGAGGGCUUCUGGCUCGCUGGGAUCUCCCUCUCCCUCUACGUCCUGAGAAUUGAGCUGUGUCUGCCCGGCUGGCGUUUCUCCAUGACCAUGGUUGCUAACUUUGUGGUGUUAGCAGGGCAGUUGUUAAUGCCGGGGCUUGCUGCCUUGUGCUCUGACUGGAAGAUCCUGCAAGCCGUCAUCAUCUGCCCCCUGUUGCUAAUGCUGUCAUACAUAUGGUUAUUUCCAGAGUCUCUGCGCUGGUUGUUAGCGACGCAGCAGUACACCCGCUCCAAAUGGCUUAUUGAGCGCAUCGCUAAGAAGAACAACACAAACGUGGACACACACGAGCUGAUCACAGAGCUCAACAGGGUUUUGGAGAAGCCACCGAAGAAGACAUGUAUAGUGAAGAUGGUGGGCACAAGGAACCUGUGGAAGAACAUUGUGGUCCUGUGUGUCAACUCGUUAACUGGUUAUGGGAUCCAUCACUGUUUUGCACGCAGUAUGAUGGAUCAGAACAGUGAGCGCGUUACCAUGUUCCAUAACUUCUAUGCUGAUUAUUAUACGUUGGCGGGAAUCGCUGUGGCAACGGGCCUCGCGCUGUGUCCAGCAGUGGGAAUUAUGGGACGUCGGGGGGGUUUACUAUUGUUCAUGAUCAUCACUGCUCUUGCAUCACUACUGCAGCUCGGCCUGCUCAACUUGAUUGGAAAAUAUAGUGUCCAGCUUAAGAUUGAGUCAGAAACUCUGAAGUCAGACUUCCACGUGGCAUUCUCCAUCAUCGGCAUGUUCUCCUCGCAGGCUGUCAGUAAUCUCAGCAUCUUUUUCUGUGCAGAGAUCACCCCCACUGUGAUCAGGGGAGGAGGUCUGGGUCUGGUGUUAGCGAGCGCUGGGUUCGGGAUGCUAACAGCACCCAUCAUGGAGCUGCACAAUCAGAAAGGCUACUUCCUGCACCAUGUGAUUUUCGCCUGCUGCACACUCAUCUGCAUCAUCUGCAUCCUGCUGCUUCCCGAGUCACGCCACCAGCCCCUCCCAGAGUCUCUGUCCGAGGGCGAGGGCUAUACCCGCCACCCCCUGCUGCCCCCACACAAGAAACCUGCUGAACAACGUCACCUGCUGCUUGGCCCCCACAGCCGCAACUAUGCCAAUGAUGAGCAUGCCAAUGACUGCACUAACGACUACUCCAAUGUCAGAGGCACGCCUCUGCGAGAGGUUGCCAUCUCCACUGUUGAGUCCACUGCCUCAUCCACUGUCGCCCCUGAUGACGACCCUGGUGACGAACUUAAUGCUGUGAGACUUAGAGUCCUCAGGCAACUCGACAACUCGACACCUACAGCAACGGAUUCACUUCCUGAUCUCAUUGUCAAUGCCCCACCCCCUGAUGCUUCAGAAACCCCCCCCACUCUUCAAAGUAGCCCCUCCCCAGUCAUUCUAGACUGUGAAAACGCGCCCAGAAUGGACGAUGAUGUCACCGAGUCUCCAGUAGGUUCUGCCGUAUCUGCCGUCCUUCCUGAACUCGUAACACCACCCAUUACAAAUGUAGCUCCACCCACACUUUCAUUCUGCCCCCCUCAAUCCUCUUCCUCUCCUAUAGAUUCUGAUCCUCUGCUGUCCCCACCCCCUCAGUCAGGCUCCACCCCUUCAGAGCCUCCUUCACCAGCCACUUUAGAUGAAACUGUGAUACGGUCAUUACCUCUGACUAUGACAGAUCCAGUCCCACCCUCUAAAUUGGACUCAACCAUGUCCUCUCCCAUAGACUCAGCUGUGGACUGUACCAUCAGCGCUGCUAAUGAGGGAGCAUCAUCCUGACUGGCGUCAACAUGGUGGUAAUGUUUCUCAAAUCCUUUGCCUUUGGCUGCUUCCCUCGAGCUGCUGCAAAGGGAUUUACUGACAUGAACAAAAGGGAGGAGCCUGACACCACUGGAGUCACUGCUGCUGAGUGACCGUGAAGUGAAAAACUCAGAGUAGUGAAACUAACAUUUUACUGACUAAUUAAGAGAAAUGGCAGAUGUGGAACUGGCCACAUCCCAAUUCACUGGAAACUAGUUUUAGUGUACUUUUUAUUAGUGUGCUUUGUAAAAAACAAAAGUACUAAAUGUGACAUGCCCCAAAGGGAAAUUUUCAUUAGCCAAAAGUUGUUUGGUUGUGUGUGUGUGUGUGUGUGUGUGUGUGUGUGUGUGUAGUGCCAAGCCUGAAAGUCUCAAAACUGUCAAACCUGAAUUUAAACCCUAUCCACUAAACCCUAAUCACUAAACCCUCAAGAGUGAAUCGGAGAAUACUAAUCACUAAACCCUCAAGAGUGAAUCACUGAGUACUAAUCACUAAACCCUGAAGAGUGAAUCACUGAGUACUAAUCACUAAACCCUCAAGCGCGAAUCACAGAGCCCUAAUCACUAAACCCUGAAGAGUGAAUCACAGAGCCCUAAUCACUAAACCCUGAAGAGUGAAUCACAGAGCCCUAAUCACUAAACCCUGAAGAGUGAAUCACAGAGCCCUAAUCACUAAACCCUCAAGAGUGAAUCACAGAGCCCUAAUCACUAAACCCUGAAGAGUGAAUCACUGAGUACUAAUCACUAAACCCUCAAGCGCGAAUCAGAGAGUACUAAUCACUAAACCCUCAAGAGUGAAUCACAGAGCCCUAAUCACUAAACCCUGAAGAGUGAAUCACAGAGCCCUAAUCACUAAACCCUCAAGAGUGAAACAGAGCCCUAAUCACUAAACCCUCAAGAGUGAAUCACAGAGCCCUAAACACUAAAACCCUCAAGAGUGAAUCACAGAGCCCUAAUCACUAAACCCUCAAGAGUGAAUCACAGAGCCCUAAUCACUAAACCCUCAAGAGUGAAUCAGAGAAUACUAAUCACUAAACCCUCAAGAGUGAAUCACAGAGCCCUAAUCACUAAACCCUCAAGAGUGAAUCAGAGAGUACUAAUCACUAAACCCUCAAGAGUGAAUCAGAGAGUACUAAUCACUAAACCCUCAAGAGUGAAUCAGAGAGUACUAAUCACUAAACCCUCAAGAGUGAACCAGAGUACUAAUCACUAAACUCCUCUAUAACCUUUAAAUCGUUCAGAUGGACCAUCAAACCCUAAACCAGUGGUGAUUAAUUGGCCCAUUAAGGUAUUUCACUGGACUGGACCAAGUACUGGAAAAAUACUGAAACAGAGCUGAUAAAUGUGAAAAAGUUUGUAGUUUCAGUGACUUCAGUUCUCUUAAGAUGAUCCAGUGUGACCUCUGUAGUAGAUCUGUUUCAGUUUUAUCCAAUCACAUGCGUGUCUGUAACUGAUUCAGCUGAAGAAGCUCGAGAGAGAGAGACAGGAACAGAAGAGUUUUCAUUCACUAUCUCAGAUCUGAUUAGUGAAGUGAUGGUCUGACUUUACCUUCACCAUGAAAACAGAUGUUUAAAGAGGAAUAAACGGAGAAGUGUUUCUUCUCUCCCAGUUCCAGUCAGCAUGUGGGUGUUGUGACAGGUUGUUUAUUAACUGGAAUGUACAGGUACUCUCACGGCUGUGUGUGACGCUGGUACCGCUUUCAUCUUCAGUAAUAUCUUUCUCCUGCGCAGAGUCACGCUCAUGUACCUCAACCGGCUUUUUAUCCUCACUUCUACCGUUUACAGUUAUAUAUUUAUAAAAUACUAGUUUGUUGUAUUUUGCAGAACGUUUUGUUAGAAAAUUUCGUGGUCAGGGACAAACAAAAGUAAUAACAGUGGGAGUGAGUGUGAGUGGAAUUAAAACACACACACACACACACACACACACAAACAUCUCUGUUUCAGAGCCCAUGGUGUGAGUUUAUAGUCUUAAAAUCAAGCAUCAGUUAGAAACAAAUUAAAAUGGUUUAUUGUUUAUUUAUAGGCAUUAACUAGUCACUAAUGGUGCAGCAUUAAAAGGUCAGUAGUGUUGUCACUCAGUUCCUGAUCUGGAUCUUUAGAAAGGAGGAAUUUUAUGCAACUGGACCUUCACACAUUUGAGUACUGGACUAAACCCUUAACCCCUGACUCUGACCACUAAACCCUCACCAUACUCCACUUUUUAAGGAGGAGGGGCUUCUUUAGUGAAUGAGCUUUUGGGAACGUGCACAGACUACUGAUGAAGGGAUAGUGAAUACUGGAGUAACCCCUAAACACUAACCCCUAAACACUAACCCCUAACCACUGUGUUGUAAAGGGAGGGAUGGUGUAAUAAAGCAGAAUGAGACUCCUAAUGCAGGUCAAAGGUCAAACCCUGGGGAGGUGUGUGUGUGUGUGUGUGUGUAGCAUCAGAAUGUUUCUGUCCACAUCAGGAUGUUUCUGUCCAUGUCACACCUUAUCACCAUGGCAACAGAGCAUGUAAACAUGAUGUUGAAGCUAAAGUGAACUAUUGUAAACACUCAUGAUAAUGUAACACACGUGAUGAUGUAAGACAAGUGUGUCAUGGCUUUAAAUGGAUUUUUUUUAUAUAAAGAAUGUGUAAAUAUAAACACAAACCGAGGGGGCGUGGCUACUUAGGAAGCAAUAAGUUCCCACCCACCAGCCAGCUCUCCUGUAGUACAUGAGAGCUACCAGCCAGGGAGCGUGAAGGUUAACGCACGCUUCCUCUGAGACACGUGAAGCCAGCCAAACGCAUCGUAACGAACUGCUGCUCACGCAGCACCAAGGGGCAGCGUAACACACUCGGAGGGAAACGCUUUCCACCCUCUUCCACAUUUAUGAGUGAACAGAUGCCCACGAUGGGCUAGUACUGCUGUGAUUGACAGGAGAGAGAGCGUAUGCCCCUCCCACACAGACAGCAUGGACUGUUUUGCUCCCUUGGCUUCAGGCCAUAGAUGGCUGCGGCAUCAUCAGUAUUCAAACUUGUGAUAUUGUUCUUUUUCUUUUACAAAUCAGAGACACUUAUAGUCGGGAAAAAUACGCUAAUUUGGAAUGAUUUUGGAUUUACUGCAUCACAUGGAAGAACAGAAAGUGGAAAAAUGGAUCUGUAACUGUGGUUUGAUUUAAUAAAAUACCACGAGUAUUGUUUUAGCAGCAGGGAAAUGAAAAAUUGAAAAUAUAUGAUUAGCCAGUGUUUAAUAUUUUUUUGCCAAACUCACACUUAUGGUGUUUUUUCCCCCUCAGUGCCAUGAGGACAGUGUUCAUGUGUCAGAGAUAAUGUCAUUAAUAAAGAGCAAAAUCAUGUGAAAGAACACUGCAAACAUAAUGUGCUGCGUGUAAGGGGUGAGUUAUUAUUAUAUUAGUGUUGUAACAACACGUUGUAGGUAAGUGCACGGCUCUACAGUGCGACCAUUUCACUCGGAUUUGUGACUGAAAAGUAUUUUGUGCGACUGUGAAUAAAUAUUUAUUCGCACCGGUGCGAGUGACCUGUUCGGAAUUGUAUAAUACAAUGGGAAUAAAAACUACAGCAAGUCCAAAAUG